UGUGUGUAUAUAUGUGCGUAUGUGUGUGAAUGGGGGAUUUAUGUAUGUGUGUGUUUUUUUGUGUUUGUUUGAGUGUGUGUGUGUUUGGGAGUGUUUGUGUGUUUUUGUGUGUGUGGGUGGGUGUGAGAGUGUAUAUGUUUAUAAGGUUGUGCGUGUGUGUGGGUGGGUGCGAGAGUGUAUAUGUUUAUAAGGUUGUGCGUGUGUGUGUUUAUGUGUUUAAUACAUGUGUCUGUCAGAGUGUUUGUGUGUUUUUGCGUUUGUGGGUGUCCAUGUGUGUGUGUCAGUUGUGUGUGUUUCUUUGGGCGUGAGUUAGUGUGUGUAUUUUUAUUUGUGUUUGUUUGUGUUUGUUUCUCUAUUUGUAUGUGUGAGUGUGUGUGUGUUUGUGUGUGUUUGUGUGUGUGUGUGUGCGUGUUUGUGUGAGAUUGUAUGUUUUAAUGUUUGAGAGAGAGAGAAAGAGAAAAAGAGAGAGUGUGUGUGUCUAUAUGUUUGUGUAUGUGAUGUAUUAAACACAUAAACACAUGUAUUUGUAUGGGUAAUUGUGUGGGUAAUAUGUGUGUGUAGGUGUAUCUGUGUUUGGGUUUAUACAAUUACNUGUGUUUGUGUAUGUGUUUUUGUGUGUGUGUGUGUAUGUGAGNGUCUGUGUGUGUGCGUGUUUGUGUAUGUAUGAGUGUCUGUGUGUGUGUGUGUGUUUAUGCGAUUGUGUGUGUCAUGUGUGUGUGUGUUUGUUUGGGCGUAUGGGUUUAGGGUUUAGGG
rnacentral:lncRNA from 1 species